rnacentral:snRNA from 1 species
GAGUUAGCUACGGCAGCACAGAUACUAAUACAGAGACAAUACAAAAAUUCCCAUGGCCCCAACCCAAGGAUGACAUGAAAAUUCAUGAAGCAUUCCUUAUUUNN